rnacentral:rRNA from 1 species
AGUGAACGCUGGCGGUAGUCCUAACACAUGCAAGUCGAACGGCAGCACAGUAAGAGCUUGCUCUUACGGGUGGCGAGUGGCGGACGGGUGAGGAAUACAUCGGAAUCUACUUUUUCGUGGGGGAUAACGUAGGGAAACUUACGCUACUACCGCAUACGACCUACGGGUGAAAGCAGGGGAUCUUCGGACCUUUCGCGAUUGAAUGAGCCGAUGUCGGAUUAGCUAGUUGGCGGGGUAAAGGCCCACCAAGGCGACGAUCCGUAGCUGGUCUGAGAGGAUGAUCAGCCACACUGGAACUGAGACACGGUCCAGACUCCUACGGGAGGCAGCAGUGGGGAAUAUUGGACAAUGGGCGCAAGCCUGAUCCAGCCAUACCGCGUGGGUGAAGAAGGCCUUCGGGUUGUAAAGCCCUUUUGUUGGGAAAGAAAAGCAGCAGGUUAAUACCCCGCUGUUCUGACGGUACCCAAAGAAUAAGCACCGGCUAACUUCGUG